GAUGAACGCUGGCGGCGUGCCUAAUACAUGCAAGUCGAGCGAACGGACGAGAAGCUUGCUUCUCUGAUGUUAGCGGCGGACGGGUGAGUAACACGUGGAUAACCUACCUAUAAGACUGGGAUAACUUCGGGAAACCGGAGCUAAUACCGGUUAAUAUUUUGAACCGCAUGGUUCAAAAGUGAAAGACGGUCUUGCUGUCACUUAUAGAUGGAUCCGCGCUGCAUUAGCUAGUUGGUAAGGUAACGGCUUACCAAGGCAACGAUGCAUAGCAGACCUGAGAGGGUGUUCGGCCACACGGGAACGGGGACACGGUCAGGACUCCUACGGGAGGCACAAGAAGGGAAUCUUCCGCAAUGGGCGAAGGCCUGACGGGGCAAGGCGGCGUGAGUGAUGAGGGUCUUCGGAUCGUAAAACUCUGUUAUUGGGGAAGAACAUAGGUGGAGGUAAAUGUGCACAUCGUGACGGUACCUAAUCAGAAAGCCACGGCUAACUACGUG
rnacentral:rRNA from 1 species